GAGUCUCUUUUCCCGCUCUCGGCGCGCGCGAGGGAGGUGGCGGUUGAGAGAGCCGCUGAGGGCAAGUACCAAGCGGGGUGUUUGAAAAGCGCGGGAAGAGCUGUGGGGGCUGGAGCCAACCAAGUAUAGGCAAAACCCACACAGUUUUGACGAAACAUUUCACUUCAGAAUAUAAGAUCAGACCAUGGCUUCUUCAAAAUGUGUAAACAACCCUGAUGCCUUUUGUUAUGUAUGUGGCUGCUACGCAUUUCCUCAUCAAAGAUGCAAUAUAACAGCGUUUGUGAGGCGUGCCUAUAAAAGCUAUUUUGAAAUUCCCCUGGGUGACCAAGACAAGAAAUGGGCUCCGCAUAUUGUCUGUCACAAUUGUGAGGAAAUGCUUAGAGACUGGACAAAAGGAAAAUGGAAGAGUAUGCCUUUUGGGGUUCCUAUGGUUUGUUGAGAACCCAAGGAUCACACAAGUGAUUGCUAUUUUUGUCUGGUCAAUAUGAAGGGUAUCGGCAAGAAAAACCGACAUGCUGUCGCCUAUCCCAGUAUUCCUUUAGCAAUUAGACCUAUCCCGCACUCUGAGGAACUCCCAAUUCCAGUUUUUAAGGGGUUUGUCUCUUCUGAAGAUGAAGGAAGUGAACAUGGUGAGGAAGAUCAUGAGGAUUUUGGGAAGGUGCAUUGAGAAAUGGCUGUAGAAUCCGAAGACGACUCAUCUUAGUAGCGAUCAGCUCCACAGCAGUUUGGCCAACGGGAACUGAAUGACUUAGUGCGUGAUUUGGGCCUCUCCAAGAAGGCAGCUGAGUUAUUAGCAUCCAGGUUGCAAGAAAAACAUCUACUGCACCACUCGGCAAAAGUGACAUAUUUCUGAAAGAGGGACCAGGAUUUUAUGGGCUUCUUUUCAAAAGACAAGCGCUUUGUUUACUGUCAUAAUAUUCCAGGCCUUCUCUGCCAAUUAGGCAUUACAUCAUACAAUUCAACAGAAUGACGCUGAUUUCUUGAUAGCUCCAAGCGCAGUCUCAAGUAUGUUUUCUUGCAGAACGGAAACGUGUAUGGAGUGGUUCCCGUUGGUCAUCAUUGAUGAUGAUGUGGAGGUGAAAAUGAGUGAGGAAGAUGAGGGUGCAAGAAGGCUGAAUUUAAUAAGCCCCAAUGGACUCCUACGGACCUGGAAUUUCAAGGAAUCCAGCAGAAAAAGAAAUUGACAGUGUGUGAGCAAAAAGAGAAAAUCAAGGUACAGCACAUAGUUCUGGACUAUGCCCCACUGAAUUCAGUGGGAUUUUCUUCUGAUUAAACAUGCCCAGUCUUAAGUUGAAAGAAGAAGAAAACAUGCUUGGGCAGGAUAUGAAGAGAAACACAUGUGAGGAGUGGGAGCAAGGUACAGGCACUUUACUUGAGGAAUAUGUAUCUACAGCAUCAGCUGCAACAUGCUAGCAGAAGCCUGUAUUAAGGAGGAGAGGGAAAGUAAUGUGUAAAUAUUACCUGUUGGAUUGUGAUAAUUACACCUUGAAAGUAAAUAGGGUGAACAUGCCUUGCUCCAUUGCAACCACUCACCACCAGAACACAGACAGACUCUUGUUGAUGGUAUAUAGUUUCCAAUCUAUUGUUCCAGUAAGCUUUGCACACAGGGGUUUUAAAGUUAAAACAUGGAAACAGAUUGGGAUUGAAAAUUAACACCUGCCACUGAAGUAUCAGUAGUUUUACAUGGUGUGGCUUAUUCUGCUCAACUUCUGUAUCAGGUAAUUUCAUGUAUAGGUAUAAAGAAACAUCUGUACACAGCAUCUGUGUAUGUUCAGUUUAAAAAUAAAUCCAUUUCAAAACAC